AUGCUGAGUUCGGGGCAGAGGAGGUU
rnacentral:piRNA from 1 species